ensembl:lncRNA
GCCAUUUUACAAGUUCUGUACAAAGUAUUGUUCUUUCUGUUUCUCCUUCCUAACACUAUGAGAAGGUAGUUCCAGAACAUGCUUUUUGUGAACUGUAAAAAAAAGGAGAGGUCAGGGUUCGAGACCAAAUAAUGAUCAUAUGACUUUGUAACUCAGAGUCUUGCUUUAGUAUUUUUAGACGGGACAGUGAUGAGAUCGGGUCUGACUCCACGUGAGCGUAAUGAAAGUUCUCAGAGCUUGAGGUUCAGUCGCAAGCUCUUGUGAAUGUGGGUUUUGUUUCUGGUCUGGAGAAGCGUUUAGAAGCACUCUUUCUCCGGCUGUAGAGGCUCAGUAACUUCAUUAUAACAGGCAGCACAUGCUGAGCUGCGGAUCAGAUGCUUCAUAACGUGACCCUUCAGUUCAGUUCAGUCCCACAGCGGUCUUCAUGUCCAGCGCACUCAGACGGUCAGAUGUUCCCCCUCUACCUGCAGUCCAGAAACAAAUGCUUGCACACAGGGGCGUAGCUACAUGGUGUCCAGUGCCUCUCCUAAAGGAAGCUUGUUCUGACGGAGGAGCUGUUCACUGUGGCGUCGAGCCUCCUUCAGAUCACUGAAUCAUGUGUAUUUUGGUGUGUUUAGUGAUUCUGAAUGGACCCGUUUAGUAGUUUAUAUGCAGUCCUUUGGCAUUUCCCUGUGUUGGUGUACACCCAAAGCGCUUUACAAUCAUGGGGGGGGGAGGUCUGACUUUAAUUUAGUGAUAACAUUGUACAAUGGAAUAAUGGAAAUAUAAUGGAAAAAUAUAAUUUUGUUCAUAUAAUUUAAAUCUGAAUUAUUUUUAAUUGUUUGACUUCUUGUUAUGAAACAGGACAUCAUUUCAUAUAUGUCUACUGUUGAGGGCACUAGGACUAAAAGCAUGUUUACUAUGCAUUUUGGGAGACAAAACAUUUGAGUAGGAAAUAUAUGUUUUAAUAUGCUUUCCAAACAGUACUUUAAUAUGCAAAUUAGAUACAGUGUACAUUGUGUUUAAUGGGAAAACCAGUUUAUGGAAUUUUUACACACAUAUAUUGCAUAAAGCAAAAUGCUAUAUCAAAUCAUUUUGUUAUAUAUUUUAUAACAUAGUUGAGAAUCAUCCUUAAAGUUUGGUAUAAAA